rnacentral:tRNA from 1 species
GGGGAUGUAGCUCAUAUUGUAGAACACUCGCUUCACAUGCGAGAGGCACAAGGUUCGAUUCCCUGCAUCUCCA